rnacentral:rRNA from 1 species
AUAAACGCUGGCGGCGUGCAUGAGACAUGCAAGUCGAACGAAGGAUCGGGCUUGCUCGAUCCUUAGUGGCGGACGGCUGAGUAACGCGUAGGUGACCUACCCCGAAGUGGGGAAUAACUGCCCGAAAGGGUGGCUAAUACCGCAUGUGGUCGCACGUUCAUUCGUGCGAGUAAAGCCGCAAGGCGCUUCGGGAGGGGCCUGCGUCCGAUUAGCUCGUUGGUGGGGUAAUGGCUUACCAAGGCGACGAUCGGUAGGUGGUCUGAGAGGACGAUCACCCAGACUGGGACUGAGACACGGCCCAGACUCCUACGGGAGGCAGCAGUCGGGAAUUUUGCUCAAUGGGGGAAACCCUGAAGCAGCAACGCCGCGUGAGGGAUGAAGGCUUCGGGUUGUAAACCUCUUUUGUCAGGGACGAUGAUGACGGUACCUGGCGAAUAAGCCACGGCUAACUACGUG